GAUUGCCCUAGUAACGGCGAGUGAAGCGGCAACAGCUCAAAUUUGAAAUCUGGCUUCGGCCCGAGUUGUAAUUUGCAGAGGAAGCUUUAGGCGCGGCACCAUCUGAGUCCCCUGGAACGGGGCGCCAUAGAGGGUGAGAGCCCCGUAUAGAUGGACGCUAAGCCUGUGUAAAGCUCCUUCGACGAGUCGAGUAGUUUGGGAAUGCUGCUCAAAAUGGGAGGUAAAUUUCUUCUAAAGCUAAAUACCGGCCAGAGACCGAUAGCGCACAAGUAGAGUGAUCGAAAGAUGAAAAGCACUUUGAAAAGAGGGUUAAAUAGCACGUGAAAUUGUUGAAAGGGAAGCGCUUGUGACCAGACUUGCGCCGGGCUGAUCAUCCGGUGUUCUCACCGGUGCACUCUGCCCGGCUCAGGCCAGCAUCGGUUCUCGCGGGGGGAUAAAGGCCCUGGGAACGUAGCUCCUCCGGGAGUGUUAUAGCCCAGGGUGUAAUGCCCUCGCGGGGACCGAGGUUCGCGCAUCUGCAAGGAUGCUGGCGUAAUGGUCAUCAGCGACCCGUCUUGAAACACGGACCAAGGAGUCAAGGUUUUGCGCGAGUGUUUGGGUGUAAAACCCGCACGCGUAAUGAAAGUGAACGUAGGUGAGAGCUUCGGCGCAUCAUCGACCGAUCCUGAUGUUUUCGGAUGGAUUUGAGUAGGAGCGUUAAGCCUUGGACCCGAAAGAUGGUGAACUAUGCUUGGAUAGGGUGAAGCCAGAGGAAACUCUGGUGGAGGCUCGCAGCGGUUCUGACGUGCAAAUCGAUCGUCAAAUCUGAGCAUGGGGGGCGAAAGACUAAUCGAACCAUCU
rnacentral:rRNA from 1 species